rnacentral:misc_RNA from 1 species
AGACUUUAACUCUUUCACUACAGCGUCUUCGUCCUUACUUAAGGCGAUCCUUUUUGGGAUCGGAGCGACCAGGUGUUGCCAACUCAGUGGGAUGCCCUCAAAGCCGUUCCAAAUCUUGCUCCUCAAAAUGAAGAAUCGAUUCUUCCAAUUCUUCAAUUAAGAAGGGAGAUCGGUAAAGAGGGAGCAGUUAGGCUUAGCCUGAAAGAACCAGAACUCAUCAUCCUU